rnacentral:rRNA from 1 species
UACAGAGGGGGCAAGCGUUGUUCGGAAUUACUGGGCGUAAAGGGCGCGUAGGCGGCCUGCUAAGUCGAACGUGAAAUCCCCGAGCUCAACUCGGGAACUGCGUCCGAUACUGGCAGGCUUGAGUCCGGGAGAGGGAUGCGGAAUUCCAGGUGUAGCGGUGAAAUGCGUAGAUAUCUGGAGGAACACCGGUGGCGAAGGCGGCAUCCUGGACCGGCAUUGACGCUGAGGCGCGAAAGCCAGGGGAGCAAACGGG